rnacentral:rRNA from 1 species
GUGGGGAAUUUUGGACAAUGGGCGCAAGCCUGAUCCAGCAAUGCCGCGUGCAGGAAGAAGGCCUUCGGGUUGUAAACUGCUUUUGUACGGAACGAAACGGUCCUGGCUAAUACCCGGGGCUAAUGACGGUACCGUAAGAAUAAGCACCGGCUAACUACGUGCCAGCAGCCGCGGUAAUACGUAGGGUGCGAGCGUUAAUCGGAAUUACUGGGCGUAAAGCGUGCGCAGGCGGUGCUGUAAGACAGGCGUGAAAUCCCCGGGCUCAACCUGGGAAUUGCCUUUGUGACUGCAAGGCUGGAGUGCGGCAGAGGGGGAUGGAAUUCCGCGUGUAGCAGUGAAAUGCGUAGAUAUGCGGAGGAACACCGAUGGCGAAGGCAAUCCCCUGGGCCUGCACUGACGCUCAUGCACGAAAGCGUGGGGAGCAAACAGGAUUAGAAACCCCUGUAGUCC